UUGUUUCCCGGAGUUUCCUUGAUCACUUCAUGAGGUCUUCAUUGUUUGAGGCCCUGGUGAAGUGUUUGGGGGAACUUCGGGACUCAC
rnacentral:pre_miRNA from 1 species